rnacentral:tRNA from 1 species
GGUGGGGUGCUAGAGUGGCCGAAUAGGGUGCUUUCGAAAAGCACUGUGCUCGCAAGAGUACCGAGGGUUCGAAUCCUUCCCCCACCG